UACAGAGGUCCCGAGCGUUGUUCGGAUUCACUGGGCGUAAAGCGCACGUAGGCGGAUUUGUAAGUCAGAGGUGAAAGCCCAGGCUCAACCUUGGAAUUGCCUUUGAUACUGGCUGUCUUGAGUUCGGGAGAGGUGAGUGGAAUGCCGAGUGUAGAGGUGAAAAUUCGUAGAUAUUCGGCGGAACACCAGUGGCGAAGGCGACUCACUGGCCCGAUACUGACGCUGAGGCGCGAAAGCGAGGGGAGCA
rnacentral:rRNA from 1 species